rnacentral:rRNA from 1 species
UUACGACCUCAACUCAAGCAAGGCUACCCGCUGAACUUAAGCAUAUCAGAACACGAUGACACGAACACG